UGUGAAUAGUUCUGGGUGGGCUUCGAUCCCACAACUCCUAAUACGCUAGACUGGACGCGUUAAUCAACUACUCUAUUUAAAAUUAAUUCAAUAGCCUAGUUCGUGACGUGGCAAAAUACAUUUAAUUCUAUAUUUAGGGUUCAUUUUAUGAGAUCUAACCGGGUUCAAAAUCCGGCACUGAUUUGAAGGUUCAAGGCUGAUAUCUACUCACGCUCGAGUGACCUACCAUAAAUGUUGGUAUUUCUUAUCGAGGCAUAAUAAUUCGCAUGUAUAAUUCGCAAGAGAUAAUAGCACAGCAGUAGCCUGAUGAAGUAAUUCCACUCAGUUUGUAUUGAACCGGUCGUACAGGAUGAGCCAAAGACAUGAAGGGAUUGUAUGUGACGUUUGCAACACUGGGAACUUUACCAGCAGUCGAUAUGCUUGUCUGGUAUGCGAGGACUAUGAUUUAUGUGAAAAGUGCUUCGACCGACGAUAUUCCAACUUGCAUCACAAGCCAUACCAUCCAAUGCAGAAGAUUCUAUGGGAAGUAGAUUUUUUCAAAAAACUUGAUGAAAGUGAAUCGGGUGAAGUGUACACAUUUUGCUGCCCUUAUUGCGGUGAAAACGAAUUUACCGCCAGUGGCCUAAUAGCGCAUUGUGGCAUUUAUCAUCGCAUUGGCGGGCACCGAGUGCGAUGUCCAAUAUGUAUCCUUUACCAGAGGAAUCACGCACCACUGCUGAUCGUUACCUUACACCAGCAUGCACUCAAAAUGCAUAAUGAAUACUGCACUCUAACAAACGUGACUACUAAAACUCAAGCUACACAGGAGUGUACCAUUUGCAUAGAAAAAAUACAGCCAAAUUGUGAUAUACAAUUUUUACCUUGUUCACAUACGUUUCAUUCAGAAUGUAUAAAAGCAUGGCUGCGAAAUAGUGCUACCUGUCCAGUAUGCAGAGUUGAGAUAGAUAAUAAAACUUGAGUCGAAUGAUUACA